rnacentral:rRNA from 1 species
CGUCAGCUCGUGUCGUGAGAUGUUCGGGUUAAGUCCCGCAACGAGCGCAACCCUUGUCUUUAGUUGCCAUCAUUUAGUUGGGCACUCUAAAGAGACUGCCGGUGUUAAACCGGAGGAAGUGGGACGACGUCAAGUCCUCAUGGCCUUUAUGCCCAGGGCUACACACGUGCUACAAUGGGCGGUACAAAGGGUCGCAAACCUGUGAAGGGGAGCUAAUCCCAAAAAGCCGUCCUCAGUUCGGAUCGGAGUCUGCAACUCGACUCCGUGAAGUUGGAAUCGCUAGUAAUCGUGGAUCAGCAUGCCACGGUGAAUACGUUCCCGGGCCUU